rnacentral:misc_RNA from 1 species
CGUCUCUGUUGGCGCAGAUAUACGUACACACAUAGACCCCCCACCCCCUUCUGUUCGUAGACACAUGCACACGCAUGCAUGCAAAGCAUAGACGCAUCCGAAAAGAUUAACUUAGGAGUACCACAUAGAGCGCGGACCACAACGGAACAUGUCUGCUAGAUCUGCAGCUCUCAGUGGUCGUAAGGAGCUACUUCAAUGGCUGAACAAGUUGUGCGAUGCAGACUAUCCUGCGGUGGAGUCGCUCCGCGAUGGGGCAGCGUACUGCACCAUUGUUGAGGCUGCAGUGAACCGCGUAGCCCAGAACUGCGCAGCAACACAGUCGUCUGAGGCCCCCGUUACGAAGAGCUGCGCAGACCGGGCGCACGUGUACCUGGGAAAGCUGGACUGGUCCGCCACAGCAGCUGUCUGCGAAAACGCUGAUCCGUCACGUGAUUCAGUCUCUGUACGUGAAGUAUGUUUUCACAACAUGAGACUCCUGCAGGACAUGCUGCAGGAGUGCGUACCCGCCGAGCACCGGAACACGGUGGACGCAAAUCGGCUUGCCACCGGGAAGUUGCAGGAUCACGUGGUACUGCUGCGGUGGUUGUACUUGUUCAUGUCAAAGGUACUAGCACAGUACUCGAAAAAGGCACUGGAGAAGAAGGCAGGAGUUGUAGCAGGCACCGUAGAGGGUGUCAAGCUGAACCGCACAGUGCGGCUGCGCAGUCGCCAGGCAAGCAGCAGUGAUCAUCGGGGAGCUCGAGGGUUGGCCCAACCGUACGAAAACAAGAAUGACCUCAUGAGGGAAGAAAACAGUACGACACCUCGCUGGCUGCACGCAGCCCGCAGCCCGUCUGGUACAUCUUCGCGAGAGAGAGCACACCGCGAUCGCGGUGAUUCGGCGCGGGACAGUAAUUCGCCAUUUCGCACACCCACCGGGUCCAACGGCGGCCCCGCACCCGCGCAUACCUCGUCCAGAGGUGGCUUACCAGACGCAGGCAUCACGACUAGCUCAACCUCAGCGCGUGCAACACCGGCAACCGGUCCCGCGAAAGGUUAUGUAUCGGAAUCUGCCCAAGAGGUUCUUCGCGAAAGGACUGUUCAUGCACACUACACGCGCGGGACCAUCGCCGUUCCUGAAGUUUUCCGCUCAACCCUCGUGCACUUGCGAGAUGAAGUGGAGGAGCUGGAGAGGCAAGUGCUCUGCGCACAGGAGCGCCACAACUACCACCUCACACACCGAGCAAGUGAAGGAGAAACGGACCGUGUGCUCAGUGUAGCAGCAGCCAAGUACGACCAGGACACCAGUCUUGGUGAAGAGGGCCGUGAAACUCUCUCUCUGGAGGAGCUAGGGGAGCUGCUGGAGGAGAGAGAUCGCUUGGCACAGCAGUAUGCAACGGUGGACGCUGUUGUGACGCGAGCACUGCAAUCGGCCAGGAGUCAAGGCAAACCAAUACCACCGCUUCUGCGCGACCUCGUGGAGCUGCUUCAUCCUGCUUGAUACCGAGAGGAGAUGGAAAGGAAGCAUCUUACUUCGCGGCCGGCCCUCCUUUCCUGUGACGUGUGCGUGCUCAUGAUAGACUAUAGUGCUCUCAGCUGCGUCCUGCAGCCUUUCUCUACGACACUUCCCCUCUCCGCUCACUUACACGUGCUCUGACGCGCUAAUGCACUUCCUCUCCUUCACUUGUGGCGUGGGGUAGGCGUUGGAUCGAUGGGACAAGGGUUCCUGUUAUCGUGACCCAAACACCGCAGACUUGGACGAGAGAGAUCUGCUUUCGAAGCCAUGUAUGAGGAUGCGCGUCGCACAUAACAGAGCAUGUAUUUCCUCUUCGAGUGCACUCUGUGUGAGAGAC